CGGACGGGUGAGUAACGCGUGGGUAACCUGCCUCAUACAGGGGGAUAACAGUUAGAAAUGACUGCUAAUACCGCAUAAGCGCACAGGGCUGCAUGGCCCGGUGUGAAAAACUCCGGUGGUAUGAGAUGGACCCGCGUCUGAUUAGCUGGUUGGAGGGGUAACGGCCCACCAAGGCGACGAUCAGUAGCCGGCCUGAGAGGGUGAACGGCCACAUUGGGACUGAGACACGGCCCAG
rnacentral:rRNA from 1 species